rnacentral:rRNA from 1 species
GAAGCGCCGUCGCUCAACGGAUAAAAGGUACCCCGGGGAUAACAGGCUGAUCUUCCCCAAGAGUCCAUAUCGACGGGAUGGUUUGGCACCUCGAUGUCGGCUCGUCGCAUCCUGGGGCUGGAGUCGGUCCCAAGGGUUGGGCUGUUCGCCCAUUAAAGCGGUACGCGAGCUGGGUUUAGAACGUCGUGAGACAGUUCGGUCCCUAUCCGCUGUGCGCGUAGGAGUCUUGAGAAGGGCUGUCCCUAGUACGAGAGGACCGGGACGGACGAACCUCUGGUGUGCCAGUUGUUCUGCCAAGGGCAUGGCUGGUUGGCUACGUUCGGGAGGGAUAACCGCUGAAAGCAUCUAAGCGGGAAGCCUGCUUCGAGAUGAGGACUCCCACCCACUUGAUGGGGUAAGGCUCCCAGUAGACGACUGGGUUGAUAGGCCGGAUCUGGAAGCACCGUGAGGUGUGGAGGUGACCGGUACUAAUAGGCCGAGGGCUUGUCCUCAGUUG